GCCCGCCUAGCUCAAUCGGAUAGAGCGUCAGACUCUUAUGUCUGGAAACAAGGGGCAAAUGUAAUCUGAAGGCUGCGAGUUCGACCCUCGCGGUGGGCU